rnacentral:rRNA from 1 species
AAGCGUGCGCAGGCGGUUAUGUAAGACAGAUGUGAAAUCCCCGGGCCUCAACCUGGGAACUGCAUUAGUGACUGCAUAGCUGGAGUACGGCAGAGGGGGAUGGAAUUCCGCGUGUAGCAGUGAAAUGCGUAGAUAUGCGGAGGAACACCGAUGGCGAAGGCAAUCCCCUGGGCCUGUACUGACGCUCAUGCACGAAAGCGUGGGGAGCAAACAGGAUUAGAUACCCGUGU